rnacentral:rRNA from 1 species
CGGCGAGUGAAGCGGGAAGAGCUCAAAUUUGAAAUCUGGCGGUCUCAGGCCGUCCGAGUUGUAAUCUAGAGAGGUGUUUUCCGUGCCGGACCGUGUACAAGUCCCUUGGAACAGGGCGUCAUAGAGGGUGAGAAUCCCGUCCAUGACACGGACUCCCGGUGCUCUGCGAUACACCUUCAAAGAGUCGAGUUGUUUGGGAAUGCAGCUCAAAACGGGUGGUAAAUUCCAUCUAAAGCUAAAUACAGGCGAGAGACCGAUAGCGAACAAGUACCGUGAGGGAAAGAUGAAAAGGACUUUGGAAAGAGAGUUAAACAGUACGUGAAAUUGUUGAAAGGGAAACGCUUGAAGUCAGUCGCGUCCGCCAGGACUCAGCCUUGCUUUUGCUCGGUGCACUUCCUGGUGGAUGGGCCAGCAUCGAUUUUGGUCGCCGGAAAAGGGCGGGAGGAAUGUGGCAGCUUGCUGUGUUAUAGCCUCUCGUCGUACACGGUGACCGGGAUCGAGGACUGCAGCACGCCUUUUUGGUCGGGGUUCGCCCACGCCACGUGCUUAGGAUGCUGGCGUAAUGGCUUUAAACGACCCGUCUUGAAACACGGACCAAGGAGUCUAACAUGCCUGCGAGUGUUUGGGUGUUAAACCCAGGCGCGUAAUGAAAGUGAAAAGUUGGGACUCUUUAGUGAGGCACCGACGCCCGAUCCUGACGUUCUCUGACGGAUUUGAGGCAGAGCAUGUAUGUUGGGACCCGAAAGAUGGUGAACUAUGCCUGAAUAGGGUGAAGCCAGAGGAAACUCUGGUGGAGGCUCGUAGCGAUUCUGACGUGCAAAUCGAUCGUCAAAUUUGGGUAUAGGGGCGA